AUACGUAGGGAGCAAGCGUUAUCCGGAUUUACUGGGUGUAAGGGGAGCGUAGGCGGAUAUUUAAGUGGGAUGUGAAAUACCCGAGCUUAACUCCGGAACUGCGCCUAAAACUAUCAAUCUAGAGUAUUGGAGAGGCAAGCGGAAUUUCUGGUGUAGCGGUAAAAUGCGCAGAUAUCAGAAGGAACACCGAAGGCGAAGGCAGCUUGCUGGACAAUAACUGACGCUCAUGCUCGAAAGCGUGGGGAGC
rnacentral:rRNA from 1 species